AGAGUUUGAUCCUGGCUCAGGAUGAACGCUAGCGACAGGCCUAACACAUGCAAGUCGAGGGGCAGCAGUAUGGUAGCAAUACCGUAGCUGGCGACCGGCGCACGGGUGAGUAACGCGUAUGCAACUUGCCUGUCAGAGGGAGAUAACCCGUCGAAAGGCGGCCUAAUACCCCAUACCACAGAGAUUUCGCAUGAAAUUUUUGUAAAAGGAGAAUCGCUGACAGAUAGGCAUGCGUUCCAUUAGCUAGUUGGUAGAGUAACAGCCUACCAAGGCAACGAUGGAUAGGGGUUCUGAGAGGAAGGUCCCCCACACUGGUACUGAGACACGGACCAGACUCCUACGGGAGGCAGCAGUGAGGAAUAUUGGUCAAUGGGCGAGAGCCUGAACCAGCCAAGUCGCGUGAAGGAAGACUGCCCUACGGGUUGUAAACUUCUUUAGUCGGAGAGUAAAGGUCGGUACGUGUACCGAUUUGCAAGUAUCCGAAGAAUAAGCAUCGGCUAAUUCCGUGCCAGCAGCCGCGGU
rnacentral:rRNA from 1 species